rnacentral:sRNA from 1 species
ACAUUAAAACAACAACAGCAUUGCUGGUCAGAGGGAAAGCUGUACCAUAGCAUUCCUCUACAUCUGCUGACCUUUAAGACAGCAAGUGUUAAUCAUUUAUCCCCCCCGCCUAUCUGAUCAUCAAAGAUUAACUCCUCUCUAGCCUUUCCUCCUCCUCUGGCCUCACCUUUGAGUUUCUAGCCAGAAAAAUGAUGGCUUCUUUCUCCUACUUCUCAUGACUGCUUUGACCUUUAACACUCUCACUUUAGGCAACAGAGAACAGCUACACCCAGAACCUCCAAAACUGAGCGCAAUGAGUGACUCAGGUGCUCUCUGGCCUCGCCUAAAUAAUGGCAGGUCAGAUCACGCUCUUCCAAACACACAAAAGAAUUGUACUCCUGGUGGGCCAGAAGGGUUCUGGACUUGAGGGACUCCCAGCAAGCUCCACACGAAGGUCCUCUUAGUACCAUCAGCACCACUGUCUUUGCCCUUUCUGGCUAAAUGUGGACUUGAACACAUCUGUCUUGGAAUUGAACGUGUCUGGCUAACAGCAUGGCCCCGUGACUGAGGAAGAAGCUCAUCUGCGCGUGCACUGCAGACCGGCGAUGGAGCAUGAACUUGAUGUUAGAACUCUUGAUCCUAAAUGUCAGGU